CCCCUAGAUGUUCUGGGCCGCACGCGCGCUACACUGAACAGUUCAACAAGUCUUAACCUUGGCCGAUAGGUCUGGGUAAUCUUUGAACGCUGUUCGUGACUGGGAUAGACCUUUGCAAUUAUGGGUCUUCAACGAGGAAUUCCUAGUAAACGCAAGUCAUCAGCUUGCAUUGAUUACGUCCCUGCCCUUUGUACACACCGCCCGUCGCACCUACCGAUUGAAUGGUCCGGUGAUAUCUCGGGACGGCGGCUUGGUCGCUUGCGUCCGACUGCUGAAACUUGAUUAAACCAUAUCAUUUAGAGGAAGGUGAAGUCGUAACA
rnacentral:rRNA from 1 species